UGAGUAACCUGCCCUUGACUCUGGGAUAAGCACUGGAAACGGUGUCUAAUACCGGAUAUUUCAACCGUCCGCAUGGUCUGGUUGUGGAAAGAAUUUUGGUCAAGGAUGGACUCGCGGCCUAUCAGGUAGUUGGUGAGGUAAUGGCUCACCAAGCCUACGACGGGUAGCCGGCCUGAGAGGGUGACCGGCCACACUGGGACUGAGACACGGCCCAGACUCCUACGGGAGGCAG
rnacentral:rRNA from 1 species